GACGAACGCUGGCGGCGCGCCUAAUACAUGCAAGUCGAACGCUUCUUUCCUCCCGAGUGCUUGCACUCAAUUGGAAAGAGGAGUGGCGGACGGGUGAGUAACACGUGGGUAACCUACCCAUCAGAGGGGGAUAACACUUGGAAACAGGUGCUAAUACCGCAUAACAGUUUAUGCCGCAUGGCAUAAGAGUGAAAGGCGCUUUCGGGUGUCGUUGAUGGAUGGACCCGCGGUGCAUUAGCUAGUUAGUGAGGUAACGGCUCACCAAGGCCACGAUGCAUAGCCGACCUGAGAGGGUGAUCGGCCACACUGGGACUGAGACACGGCCCAGACUCCUACGGGAGGCAGCAGUAGGGAAUCUUCGGCAAUGGACGAAAGUCUGACCGAGCAACGCCGCGUGAGUGAAGAAGGUUUUCGGAUCGUAAAACUCUGUUGUUAGAGAAGAACAAGGACGUUAGUAACUGAACGUCCCCUGACGGUAUCUAACCAGAAAGCCACGGCUAACUACGUG
rnacentral:rRNA from 1 species